rnacentral:piRNA from 1 species
UGCACAGAAGAACGCGUCUGGAAUGGG